rnacentral:rRNA from 1 species
UACAGAGGGUGCGAGCGUUAAUCGGAAUUACUGGGCGUAAAGCGCACGUAGGCGGCUUGGUAUGUCGGGUGUGAAAUCCCCGGGCUCAACCUGGGAACUGCAUUCGAAACUGCCUUGCUAGAGUAUGGGAGAGGGAAGUGGAAUUUCCGGUGUAGCGGUGAAAUGCGUAGAUAUCGGAAGGAACAUCAGUGGCGAAGGCGACUUCCUGGACCAAUACUGACGCUCAGGUGCGAAAGCGUGGGGAGCAAACA